UGGUCGUUGUUCGUUGCCACUCAACACAGCCUCACGGGACGCACAGCUUUGUGUCCGCGCUCAAAAGUGCUUUCUUGCUUCGUUCAUCGAUUACUCACGUUGAUCGAGUGUACUUCCGAAGACAAUCCGCGUCCGAGUGUUUUGACAAGCGGCGAUCGCGGUUCCACAGGAGCGGAAGCUUGAGCCUUUUGACGAGCGACUGUGCCAAACUUGGGAACCGUCGUGUUGGCACAGCGAGGAUGAUCAACAGAUACCCGAUAGGCAGCGAUGAGAGCUGUUCAUGGCACCGACACAGAGGACAGAUUGCAGUACAAGAUAGAAGCAUACUUCCUGCAAGCCCGGGCAAGCCAUAAUGAGUGGUAGGCAUUUCUUUUCAUCACUCGAUUGCGACAGUUUGGACACAUAGCACCUAUAGACCUUAUGCA